AGCGGGGGAUAACAUUUGGAAACAAAUGCUAAUACCGCAUAAUUAGUCAGAACCGCAUGGUUCCGACUUGAAAGAUGGCUCUGCUAUCACUUCGGGAUGGACCCGCGCCGUAUUAGUUAGUUGGUGAGAUAAAAGCCCACCAAGACGAUGAUACGUAGCCGACCUGAGAGGGUAAUCGGCCACAUUGGGACUGAGACACGGCCCAGACUCCUACGGGAGGCAGCAGUAGGGAAUCUUCCACAAUGGACGAAAGUCUGAUGGAACAACGCCGCGUGAGUGAUGAAGGGUUUCGGCUCGUAAAACUCUGUUGUUAAAGAAGAACAAGCAUGAGAGUAACUGUUCAUGCUUUGACGGUAUUUAACCAGAAAGCCACGGCUAACUACGUGCCAGCAGCCGCGGUAAUACGUAGGUGGCAAGCGUUGUCCGGAUUUAUUGGGCGUAAAGCGAGCGCAGGCGGUUUUGUAAGUCUGCUGUGAAAGCCCUCAGCUCAACUGAGGAAGUGCAGUGGAAACUACAAAACUUGAGUACAGAAGAGGAAAGUGGAACUCCAUGUGUAACGGUGAAAUGCGUAGAUAUAUGGAAGAACACCAGUGGCGAAGGCGGCUUUCUGGUCUGUUACUGACGCUGAGGCUCGAAAGCGUGGGUAGCGAACAGGAUUAGAUACCCUGGUAGUCCAUGCCGUAAACGAUGAAUACUAGGUGUUGGAGGGUUUCCGCCCUUCAGUGCCGCAGCUAACGCAUUAAGUAUUCCGCCUGGGGAGUACGACCGCAAGGUUGAAACUCAAAGGAAUUGACGGGGGCCCGCACAAGUGGUGGAGCAUGUGGUUUAAUUCGAUGCUACGCGAAGAACCUUACCAGCUCUUGACAUCUUCUGCCAACCUAAGAGAUUAGGCGUUCCCUUCGGGGACAGAAUGACAGGUGGUGCAUGGUUGUCGUCAGCUCGUGUCGUGAGAUGUUGGGUUAAGUCCCGCAACGAGCGCAACCCUUAUUAUUAGUUGCCAGCAUUUAGUUGGGCACUCUAGUGAGACUGCCGGUGAUAAACCGGAGGAAGGUGGGGAUGACGUCAAAUCAUCAUGCCCCUUAUGAGCUGGGCUACACACGUGCUACAAUGGAUGGUACAACGAGUCGCGAAACCGCGAGGUCAAGCUAAUCUCUUAAAGCCAUUCUCAGUUCGGAUUGCAGGCUGCAACUCGCCUGCAUGAAGUUGGAAUCACUAGUAAUCGUGGAUCAGCAUGCCACGGUGAAUACGUUCCCGGGCCUUGUA
rnacentral:rRNA from 1 species